rnacentral:rRNA from 1 species
UACGAAGGGGGCUAGCGUUGCUCGGAAUCACUGGGCGUAAAGGGUGCGUAGGCGGGUCUUUAAGUCAGGGGUGAAAUCCUGGAGCUCAACUCCAGAACUGCCUUUGAUACUGAAGAUCUUGAGUUCGGGAGAGGUGAGUGGAACUGCGAGUGUAGAGGUGAAAUUCGUAGAUAUUCGCAAGAACACCAGUGGCGAAGGCGGCUCGCUGGACCGGAACUGACGCUGAGGUGCGAAAGCGUGGGGAGCAAACAGG